GAUGAAGAACGCAGCGAAAUGCGAUACGUAAUGUGAAUUGCAGAAUUCAGUGAAUCAUCGAGUCUUUGAACGCACAUUGCGCCCCCUGGUAUUCCGGGGGGCAUGCCUGUCCGAGCGUCAUUGCUGCCCUCAAGCACGGCUUGUGUGUUGGGCCUCCGUCCUCCUCCCGGGGGACGGGCCCGAAAGGCAGCGGCGGCACCGCGUCCGGUCCUCGAGCGUAUGGGGCUUCGUCACCCGCUCUUGUAGGCCCGGCCGGCGCUUGCCGACACAUCAAUCUUUUUUCCAGGUUGACCUCGGAUCAGGUAGGGAUACCCGCUGAACUUAAGCAUAUCAAAAAGCGGAGGA
rnacentral:misc_RNA from 1 species